rnacentral:misc_RNA from 1 species
GAUGAAGAACGUAGCGAAAUGCGAUAAGUAGUGUGAAUUGCAGAAUUCAGUGAAUCAUCGAAUCUUUGAACGCACAUUGCGCCCUUUGGUAUCCCUUAGGGCAUGCCUGUUCGAGCGUCAUUUAAACCUUCAAGCUAAGCUUGGUGUUGGGUGACUGUCCGCUUCACGGCGGACUCGCCUCAAAAUUAUUGGCGGCCGGUACAUUGGCUUCGAGCGCAGCAGAAACGCGAACUCGGGCCCGUCGUAUUGGCUCCCAGAAGCUAUCUUCACAAUUUUGACCUCGGAUCAGGUAGGGAUACCCGCUGAACUUAAGCAUAUCAAUAAGCGGAGGA